CCCUCAGCGACGCUGCCUGCGGAGACCGACGGGGUGAGGAGCACCCAAAACAGACAGAUUGCGCUGGGAGCCCACAAGGGCCCGCCAACAAUGGACUGUGUGUUCUCCCGGGGCGGAUCACACCCGCUCCCAGCUCAUAAAGGCCCUUUAUAUAACUCCACUCAGGCGGGGCCUGGGCGGGGCAGCUGCAGGAGGUCCCACACCCGGGCCGGCACAGGCCUGGCAGCCCGUGGGCCGCCUCCCACACCCAGGGCUGUCCCCUCCGGGAGCCACCGCCUCCACCAGGGCACUUCCCCGGCAGCUCCCGUCCAGAUCUGGGAUUCAGACUCCCGUGGGCCACAGGCCAAGGCAGGAGAAAGGGUGGCACCUCGUGAUGGGAGUGGUCUGUCCAGGGGCCCCUUUUCCAGAGAACCAUGGCCUCCUACUCUUGAGUGCUUUCCUGGCCACGAAUGAUGCAGGUCCGGAUGCCAGCAUCCUGACCGACUGCACACGCUGCAGUGAAAUUCAGUGUCACCGGGAAAGCCUCCUGUGGAAGCUGGGCCGUCUGCACAGGGUAGAGCUCUGUGUGGGGGCGCAGGCCGGGCAUGCACGAGACCCCGGGUUCCACCCCAGCACUGCGAAAUGAAGCAAAGGAGAGGGGAGGAAGAGAGGAAGGAGGGAGGCGCUGGCUUCUCCCGGGAGAGAUUAAGCUUCCCUGGCCCAGGGCAAGGACAGCCGCAGACUGCGUAACUCCAGCUGCUAAGGCAGACUCCAGAAGCUCAGCUGCCCUCCGCGCCGAGGCCGCAGUGCUGUGCAGAAGUGCACCUGGCUGCACACACUGAAGAGCAACCGGCACCGAAACACAGCGUGCUGAGGGCUGACCUCCACUCAGGAGCGAAGAGAGCGAACAAACCCCCAUGUCAGUUGGCAGAGCCUGGGCCACCUACACGUUCCGAACCUCUCGGGGCCUCAGUGUCUCUCGGUGUAUAUUUGGAAUUAAAGAUGGGCGAGACCAAAAUAUGAAACAAGGGAGCCCACCCUAGAGAAACAACCACCACUGCAGACCCCAGCGGGCUACUGUGACGUACACCGGCUUCUCUUCCUAGCGAGCCAGAAUCAUUCUGAGAGACCAGCGAUGAAGCCCACCCGGCAUACACCGCUCUGAACCCGGGAAGCGGGCAGGCUCGUCCUGCAAGUACUUAGUCCCAACGCUCACGUAUUUUACCCAGCCAACUGCUCAUUUUGCUGCGUGAACUUGCCUGUCCAACCGGAGAGUGCGCUUCUCUGUCCUCAGCAGGAGAUGGCGACAGAGCUCCACCCCAGUCCCUGAAGACUGGCUAAAAAGCAGGAACGGGAAAAAGCGAAAAGGAAGGGAAAGGAGGAGUGGAGGGAUCAGAAAUGACUUCUGUCAACAAACUCUUAGGAAGGGAGAAAUAAAACCACUGGUUUCAGUCUUUAGAACUGAGCUCUCAUUCUAGCCCAUUGAGAAGCACAAGAGGACAAAAUGCAGAAAAACCCCUGACAUCCAAAUUUGCAACAAAUAAGUGGGAGAUACAGAAUCUAUUCCUAAUCUUAAGCCCAGAUAAAACACCACUGACUUGUUAGCCGUCUACCGUGAGCCGUGAGUUGUUCUUAGGGUUUCUCUGCAGACCCUGGGCAAGCAAACCUCUCAGCAAUGCCCCCACUUCUGUGCUCAGAGCUCUGUCUUCUGUUUAAAAGGAGCGUCCAGGAACAGGGUCUCCUGGUCCCCGGCCCCAGCUGAGUAGAGCCGGUGCUCAUGAAAAUUCCUCUCCCACUGGGGAAGCCACAGCCACUUGCC
ensembl:lncRNA